rnacentral:rRNA from 1 species
CGGGGGGGGCAAGCGUUGUUCGGAAUUACUGGGCGUAAAGGGCUCGUAGGCGGCCAACUAAGUCGGACGUGAAAUCCCUCGGCUUAACCGGGGAACUGCGUCCGAUACUGGAUGUCUUGAGUUUGGGAGAGGGAUGCGGAAUUCCAGGUGUAGCGGUGAAAUGCGUAGAUAUCUGGAGGAACACCGGUGGCGAAGGCGGCAUCCUGGACCAACACUGACGCUGAUGAGCGAAAGCCAGGGGAGCAAACGGG